UCUUGGUCAUUUAGAGGAAGUAAAAGUCGUAACAAGGUUUCCGUAGGUGAACCUGCGGAAGGACCAUUAAAGAAAUUUAAUAAUUUUGAAAAUGGAUUUUUUUGUUUUGGCAAGAGCAUGAGAGCUUUUACUGGGCAAGAAGACAAGAGAUGGAGAGUCCAGCCGGGCCUGCGCUUAAGUGCGCGGUCUUGCUAGGCUUGUAAGUUUCUUUCUUGCUAUUCCAAACGGUGAGAGAUUUCUGUGCUUUUGUUAUAGGACAAUUAAAACCGUUUCAAUACAACACACUGUGGAGUUUUCAUAUCUUUGCAACUUUUUCUUUGGGCAUUCGAGCAAUCGGGGCCCAGAGGUAACAAACACAAACAAUUUUAUCUAUUCAUUAAAUUUUUGUCAAAAACAAGAAUUUUCGUAACUGGAAAUUUUAAAAUAUUAAAAACUUUCAACAACGGAUCUCUUGGUUCUCGCAUCGAUGAAGAACGCAGCGAAAUGCGAUACGUAAUGUGAAUUGCAGAAUUCCGUGAAUCAUCGAAUCUUUGAACGCACAUUGCGCCCCUUGGUAUUCCAGGGGGCAUGCCUGUUUGAGCGUCAUUUCCUUCUCAAACAUUCUGUUUGGUAGUGAGUGAUACUCUUUGGAGUUAACUUGAAAUUGCUGGCCUUUUCAUUGGAUGUUUUUUUUCCAAAGAGAGGUUUCUCUGCGUGCUUGAGGUAUAAUGCAAGUACGGUCGUUUUAGGUUUUACCAACUGCGGCUAAUCUUUUUUUAUACUGAGCGUAUUGGAACGUUAUCGAUAAGAAGAGAGCGUCUAGGCGAACAAUGUUCUUAAAGUUUGACCUCAGAUCAGGUAGGAGUACCCGCUGAACUUAAGCAUAUCAAUAAGCGGAG
rnacentral:rRNA from 1 species